rnacentral:lncRNA from 1 species
AUGGAUCCAGCUAGACCAGAUCUGUCCCCACACUUUUUGAUGCGCUACGGGGUCAUAUUGAAAGCAGCCACUGAAGCUCCUAGGCCGGAGGCCAGGUUAGUAGCAGUCGAGCUGCUGGAUGACAUUUUGUGGGAGGAACCCUGGUUGUUUGAGUUCCCGGGUGUGGCAAAGCUGUGGGUUGAGGUGGGUGCGAUGCGCGAUGAGCUACAACGCGCACUAUUUCGCCCCCCUCUUCCAGACUCGGAGGUUCGUUUUUGUACCGGGCCUCCAGACUUCCAUGGACAGUCGCUCAUCUCCAGCUCGUGGGUUGGCGCGAAGAUGAGCAUCCCUGAUUCGGCUCACACAACGAACUUCACUGCAUCUGUUGCACAGCCCCCGAGACGUCAGCGUUCAAGGCGGAAGACGCUGCGCUCGACGAGACAGCAAUGGAGGGCUGCUGUUCUCGCUCCUCCAGACCGGCACUUGGAGGACCAAGUGUCGGAGCCCGCUGGCCGUCGGCCGGCAACCGUGUCAGCGGGAGACCCUCUUACCCCGCGCUCUUGGGAGGGAGCACUGGAUGGGGAGUCACAGCGUGAGGAUGCCGCUGUUCAGACUCCUACACCUGCACCAAGGCACUUCAAGGAGGAAGCGUCGACGGGUGCAGAUCGGCAGUUCACUACUGCUGUGCCAACUCCACGGUCCCAGCGUUUGGAGGAGACGCAGGGCGUGGAAAUACAGCGGGGCAGUCCCGUUGCACAACAUCUGGUUCUGGUUUCGGCCCCUCGGCGUGGAACGUCAACGCCGCAGCCGAACUUCCCAGUACCUGCACCACGGUGCCAUAAGGUGGUGGCGCCGUUCAGUGCGAUUCAGCGCGACAGCACAUCAGCUGUUGCCUUCACCUCUUCAUGUCUGGCUCCGGUUCCGGCUCCACGUCUGGUUUCGUCUCUGGCUCCGGUUCCGGCUCCACGUCUGCCCUCCAAGAAGGGCGCUUCUCUGAGGGUGGGGCUGCUUCUUGUUUCUCCGAUGGCAGCACGGCGUGAGGUUCCUGUCGCCAAGCCACGUUUGACCCUUGAGGUUCCUGGUGGUCCAGUGGAGGCCACGUUUCGUCGCGGUGGUCCAGGGAGGACGCCGCUGGUUCCCGUUUGUCGUCGCGGUGGUCCAAGGAGGACGCCGCUGGUUCCCGUUUGUCGUCGCGGUGGUCCAAGGAGGACGCCGCUGGUUCCCGUUUGUCGUCGCGGUGGUCCAAGGAGGACGCCGCUGGUUCCCGUUUGUCGUCGCGGUGAUCCAAGGAAGACGCCGCUGGUUCCCGUUCGUCGUCUUGGUGGUCCACAAGGGGCCUUAGGGCUCAUGGGGGCUAUGCCACCGGACUGGUUGCCUUGCCACCAUAAUCACCCGCUGCUAUGCUGGCCCUGCCUCUACCGUCGACGCCCACCCAGGGAGCUGGGCCCGUGUUCAGGGGCACCAGGAGUGCCAGUUGACUCCCAGCGGCUGCUGGGUUGGACCCUGCCUCGUUGGCACCCACCAUGA